rnacentral:rRNA from 1 species
GACGAACCGAGCGAACGUUGUUCGGAAUCACUGGGCUUAAAGGGCGCGUAGGCGGGCGGUUAAGUCUGCGGUGAAAUCCUCCAGCUCAACUGGAGAACUGCCGUGGAUACUGGCUGUCUCGAGGAAGGUAGGGGCGUGUGGAACUAUCGGUGGAGCGGUGAAAUGCGUUGAUAUCGAUAGGAACUCCGGUGGCGAAGGCGACACGCUGGACCUUUUCUGACGCUGAGGCGCGAAAGCCAGGGGAGCAAACAGG